rnacentral:rRNA from 1 species
UACGUAGGGGGCAAGCGUUGUCCGGAUUUAUUGGGCGUAAAGAGCGUGUAGGCGGCCAGAUAGGUCCGUUGUGAAAACUGGAGGCUUAACCUCCAGCGGUCGAUGGAAACCAUUUGGCUAGAGUCCGGAAGAGGAGAGUGGAAUUCCUGGUGUAGCGGUGAAAUGCGUAGAUAUCUGGAGGAACACCGGUGGCGAAGGCGGCGUCCUGGACCAACACUGACACUGAUGAGCGAAAGCCAGGGGAGCAAACGGG